CGACCUGCGGGCCGUGGGUUCAUGUACUCGAAAAAGUUGAGGUGCCUCUGAAGGGCAGCUCCCCGAGGAAACUCCCAAUUUUGCUGCCCUCUCCAGGUGUGCGUGUGAGUGUACUCAUCUGUUGUUUCCAUGUGUUAGUUAACCUGUAUUUUGUGAGCUCCUGUCGCUACUAUUGUUGGGCAUUGGGGAAAAGAGAAAUAAAUGAAGAUUCUUGUUUUCUCAGCAUCCUGUUUAAGGAAUAUACCAUCUUAUAUUUGGCGAGCUCCAUAAGAGCAGAGCUACCCAGAAAACUGCCCCUAUCUAUAUUGGCGUUUUUUCCCUAGCUUUUCUUUAUCUCUGGAAACCACAGGAGCCCUUCGCCUCUUCAUCGUCCUCCACAGCUCAGCUCUCUCUCAUAGGCUGUCUGUGCCAUCCUUCAAGAGGUCUGUGAUACUGGGCAGCUCGUGAAGGAUGCCGCAGACAGCCUAUGAGAGCAAGAUUCCGUCUCAAACAACAACAAAAAUCUUGGUAUAAUAUUUGGCUAGGCCGGGCGCAGUGGCUCAUGCCUGUA
rnacentral:lncRNA from 10 species